CGUUGUUCGGAAUCACUGGGCUUAAAGAGCAUGUAGGCGGACUGCCAAGUGUCUGGUGAAAUCCCUCGGCUCAACCGAGGAACUUGCAGGGCAUACUGGUCGUCUUGAGGCAAGCAGGGGUGCGUGGAACUCUUGGUGGAGCGGUGAAAUGCGUAGAUAUCAAGAGGAACGCCANCGGAGAAAUCGGCGCACUGGGCUUGUACUGACGCUGAGAUGCGAAAGCGUGGGGAGCGAACAGGAUUAGAUACCCUGGUAGUCCACGCCGUAAACGAUGUAUACUAGGUCGUGGUAGAUCUGACUCUAUCGCGGCCGUAGCAAAAGUAUUAAGUAUACCGCCUGGGGAGUACGGUCGCAAGGCUAAAACUCAAAGGAAUUGACGGGGGCUCACACAANCGGUGGAGCAUGUGGCUUAAUUCGAAGCAACGCGAAGAACCUUAUCCUGGGUUUGACAUGCACGGAUGCCCUUCCUGAAAGGGAAGUAAGCUGCCUUCGGGUGAAACGUACACAGGUGCUGCAUGGCUGUCGUCAGCUCGUGUCGUGAGAUGUCGGGUUAAGUCCCUUAACGAGCGAAACCCUUAUCGCUAGUUGCCAGCGGGUCAUGCCGGGGACUCUAGUGAGACUGCCGGUGUUAAACCGGAGGAAGGCGGGGAUGACGUCAAGUCCUCAUGGCCUUUAUGCCCAGGGCUGCACACGUGCUACAAUGGUCCGGACAAACCGACGCAAAACCGUGAGGUCGAGCAAAUCGGAUAAACCGGGCCUCAGUUCGGAUUGCAGGCUGCAACUCGCCUGCAUGAAGUCGGAAUCGCUAGUAAUCGCAGAUCAGCUAUGCUGCGGUGAAUAAGUUCCUGAGCCUUGUACACACCGCCCGUCAAGUCAUGGAAGCUGGGAGUACCUGAAGUCGGGUAGCUAAC
rnacentral:rRNA from 1 species